rnacentral:rRNA from 1 species
UACGUAGGGGGCAAGCGUUGUCCGGAAUCAUUGGGCGUAAAGAGCGUGUAGGCGGCUUGGUAAGUCCGCUGUGAAAGUCCAGGGCUCAACCCUGGAAUGCCGGUGGAAACUGUCAAGCUUGAGUCCGGAAGAGGCGAGUGGAAUUCCUGGUGUAGCGGUGAAAUGCGCAGAAAUCAGGAGGAACACCAAUGGCGAAGGCAGCUCGCUGGGACGGUACUGACGCUGAGACGCGAAAGCGUGGGGAGCAAACAGG